CUUCUCAGAGACACUAUUGCUGUUACUAAGGACAGGAAGGACAGGAUAUGUCUUGGCAGGGAGAGAGUGACAGUCUAUUGUUAAGUGGAAAAAUGAUGUUGAACUUGGCCAUGCGACUUGCGUGUGCCAAUGGAAUUGUGAUGGACAUACCCACGGCAGGGACUUUACAUGUGCUUGCUGGGUGUGGCUUGGUCUCCUGGGCUGCUGUCACUCUGUGAGAAGAACGGGCCUUAGUGAGUGGCUGGUCUGAGGAGAGCACAAAGACAAGCAGAGCAGCUGAACCCAACCUGAGCCCAGCUGAUCCACAGACCAGUGAGCCAGAAAAAGACGUGCUCGCCUGAUGCUGAAGAGGAGUCAGACACAAAAAGAAAAAUUGCAUGAUUCCACUUACAUGAAAUAUUUACAAUAGGCUCUUCUUUCCUGUUUUCCUCCCCGGUGGUGGCACCAGGAUGUUUCUGGACAUUGCUCAUCCUUAUCUUAAGUGACUCUUGGCUUCUCUUGGACAAUUGACCAGACUCAAGUCCUGGCUGACUCUGUGGAAUGUGUCUCCACUU